rnacentral:rRNA from 1 species
AACGAACGCUGGCGGCAGGCUUAACACAUGCAAGUCGAGCGCCCCGCCAGGGGAGCGGCUGCUGGGUGAGUAACGCGUGGGAACGUACCUAUUGGUUCGUAACAACUCCGGGAAACUGGAGCUAAUACCGGAUACGCCCUCACGGGGAAAGAUUUAUAGUCGAAAGAUCGGCCCGCGUCUGAUUAGCUAGUUGGUGAGGUAACGGCUCACCAAGGCGACGAUCAGUAGCUGGUCUGAGAGGAUGAUCAGACACACUGGGACUGAGACACAGCCCAGACUCCUACGGGAGGCAGCAGUGGGGGAUAUUGGACAAUGGGCGCAGUCCUGAUCCAGCCAUGCCGCGUGAGUGAUGAAGGCCUGAGAGUUGUAAAGCGCUUUUGUCCGGGAAGAUAAUGACUGUACCGAAAGAAUAAGCCCCGGCUAACUUCGUG